UCCACCCGAGCACUGACCUCGUUGAGCGA
rnacentral:sRNA from 1 species